GAGGGGUUAAGUUAACGAAAACUAAUUGCCUUCAAAGCUAUUAAUAAUGGUUCAAAUCCAUUACCCCUUG
rnacentral:tRNA from 1 species